rnacentral:rRNA from 1 species
AAUAGAUACCCUGGUAGUCCAUGCCGUAAACGUUGGGAACUAGAUGUAGGGUCCAUUCCACGGAUUCUGUGUCGCAGCUAACGCAUUAAGUUCCCCGCCUGGGGAGUACGGCCGCAAGGCUAAAACUCAAAGGAAUUGACGGGGGCCCGCACAAGCGGCGAAGCAUGCGGAUUAAUUCGAUGCAACGCGAAGAACCUUACCAAGGCUUGACAUAUACCGGAAACGGCUGGAAACAGUCGCCCCGCAAGGUCGGUAUACAGGUGGUGCAUGGUUGUCGUCAGCUCGUGUCGUGAGAUGUUGGGUUAAGUCCCGCAACGAGCGCAACCCUCGUUCUUUGUUGCCAGCACGUAAUGGUGGGAACUCAAAGGAGACUGCCGGGGUCAACUCGGAGGAAGGUGGGGAUGACGUCAAAUCAUCAUGCCCCUUACGUCUUGGGCUUCACGCAUGCUACAAUGGCCGGUACAAAGGGCUGCAAUACCGUAAGGUGGAGCGAAUCCCAAAAAGCCGGUCUCAGUUCGGAUUGAGGUCUGCAACUCGACCUC